rnacentral:misc_RNA from 1 species
GCGUGCGGAUCGUCCGGGGCGACAGGUGCAGCUGCAGCACCGAGUACUGGCCACUGGGCACGCGUCUCCGCACGCUGCAGCUGAACUAAUUACCGAUGGCGCAGGCAAGUAACAGGUACGGUUAAUGCGACCGAGAGCUCGUCGCCGUGCCACCUUCCACCGAUCGGCCAAUACGUAACUUCUGCACACGACUCUUAGUCAGAGACCAGAAAUAGCGUGUUUCGUGGCCGAGGCAAAAUAACCAUUACUUAACCAUCUCGUUGAAGCAACGAGACCAACUUACAACGUACAUCGUCGGUCGCGAGACGCGUGAUUAUAUAGUCGAGCCUAUUUUCAGGCUUUUCAUGAGAUUGAAGGAAAAAUUGACAAGAUGCUCUAGAAGGUUUCAUGUUAUAACGAAAUAAUAAAAGUGAAGAUACAAGGAAUUGAAAAAUUGUCUUGUCUCGAAGUUCGAGGGAAAUUACAUUUUCUAUGAAACUUGUGCCCUGAAAAUGGCUGUGAAAAGACGUAAACUC